CAGGGAAGUGUGCCCGAACGCCAAAGGAAUACUUUGAUAGAGUAUAUUAUAGGGGUUAAAAUCCCCUCACUUCC
rnacentral:tRNA from 1 species